GCCGGCUUAGCUCAAUUGGUAGAGCAACUGACUUGUAAUCAGUAGGUUGCGGGUUCAAAUCCUGCAGCCGGCACCA
rnacentral:tRNA from 1 species